rnacentral:rRNA from 1 species
GACGAACGCUGGCGGCGUGCUUAACACAUGCAAGUCGAACGGAAAGGCCCUGCUUUUGUGGGGUGCUUGAGUGGCGAACGGGUGAGUAACACGUGAGUAACCUGCCCUUGACUUUGGGAUAACUUCAGGAAACUGGGGCUAAUACCGGAUAGGAGCUCCUGCUGCAUGGUGGGGGUUGGAAAGUUUCGGCGGUUGGGGAUGGACUCGCGGCUUAUCAGCUUGUUGGUGGGGUAGUGGCUUACCAAGGCUUUGACGGGUAGCCGGCCUGAGAGGGUGACCGGCCACAUUGGGACUGAGAUACGGCCCAGACUCCUACGGGAGGCAGCAGUGGGGAAUAUUGCACAAUGGGCGGAAGCCUGAUGCAGCAACGCCGCGUGCGGGAUGACGGCCUUCGGGUUGUAAACCGCUUUCGCCUGUGACGAAGCGUGAGUGACGGUAAUGGGUAAAGAAGCAUCGGCUAACUACGUG